CUCCGUUCAACAAGCAGGCAGGAGGCCCGGAGCCCGGACGAGGACACUCAGGUUCUGAGAAGUGAAGCGAGACACGGGGUGAGUGGCCAGGCUGGGUCCGUCAGCGUCCGAAUCCCAUGUUGUCUCUGCUUCACAGUGCCGCCAGCUUUGCAGAUCAAAGGCAUGGCCGCUGGCGGUGCCCGAGGAGCCCAGCCCCGGAAGGGAAGCGUGAUCCCAGCUUCUCCAACACGGAGGCAGCCGGCCCUGCCUGGACGCAGCUGGAGACCGAGUCACACGUCUCAGCCAAUUAGAAAACAUCAGGCUCUCCGAGGAUUAAGUGGGAGCCGUGUCUUCAGGCCCACGCCCUCGCCACAAGGAGGACACAGCAGAAAUGCUGCGUGACCUCAGCGGCCAGGCCCGAGAAGGGAUGGCACCUUCCACCCAACCUUCCCUGUCCCAGGACCAGGCACCCCGGGAGGAUGUGGGAGAAGAGCCCGUGCUGGAGCGGUCACGGGUGAGACUAUGGCGAGGGGACGGGAGGAGGCCCAGUGGUUCCCGUCCUCAGCCCCUGUGUCUCCCAGGCCCGGGUGCCCCAGCCGGUGCCACGUGGGACACAGGCAAGCGGGCCCUGCUCAGUGCGUUCCCAAACAAAAUAAAUGUUUUAAGCCACUACACUUGGGGGCUUGGGUACGCAGCAC